rnacentral:rRNA from 1 species
AUUGAACGCUGGCGGCAUGCUUUACACAUGCAAGUCGAACGGCAGCGCGGGCUUCGGCCUGGCGGCGAGUGGCGAACGGGUGAGUAAUACAUCGGAACGUGCCCAGUAGUGGGGGAUAGCUCGGCGAAAUCCGGAUUAAUACCGCAUACGACCUGAGGGUGAAAGCGGGGGAUCUUCGGACCUCGCGCUAUUGGAGCGGCCGAUGGCAGAUUAGCUAGUUGGUGGGGUAAAGGCCUACCAAGGCGACGAUCUGUAGCUGGUCUGAGAGGACGACCAGCCACACUGGGACUGAGACACGGCCCAGACUCCUACGGGAGGCAGCAGUGGGGAAUUUUGGACAAUGGGCGAAAGCCUGAUCCAGCAAUGCCGCGUGUGUGAUGAAGGCCUUCGGGUUGUAAAGCACUUUUGGCGGGAACGAAAAGGACUGUGCCAAUACCACGGUUCGAUGACGGUACCCGCAGAAUAAGCACCGGCUAACUACGUG